CGAUUCACAAACUGGCUUUUAGGAACACUUGGCUGAGUAAGCUACGUUUGAUGGGCGGGUGAAAUUUCGCCUCUCCACUGCGCCGUCGCCUCUCCGUUCCAUCAUCGCCUCUCUGCUCCUCCACCGGGAAGAGAAACGCAUAGACAGGCAGCAUCCUCCACUGCCAUAGUUGCCGCUCCUUCACCUCUAUUACUGCCCCGUGUUGUGCUAGAGCCUUAGACAAUAGGCAAUGAUAGUUCGGGUUCGACACUCGAUUCCACUACGUUUUGGCUGUGGUCGGGUUCGACAAUCGAUUCCACUAUGUUUUGGCUGGAUGGGAAGGAAGUGCAACAGACUCAAGAGUAUUGUAUAAUGCAGUUGAUCAUGAAACAAACCCGUUUGUUGUCCCAGAAGGCAAAUAUUAUCUUGCUGAUUCCAAACAUUGUCGGUUUGCUAACACCUUAUCGAGGGCAUCGUUAUCAUAUGUCUGAGUUUAACACUCGGGGAGCACGCUCACCUAGAGCUGAAGAAGAAUUAUUCAACCAUAGGCAUUCAUCACUCCGAAAUACAGAAGAAAGAACUUUCGGCAUGUCGAAAGGUCGUUUUUCAAUAUUUAAAAUGCAAGUCCAGUAUCCAUUCCAAAAAUAAGCUCAAAUCGUUCUUGCAACAUGUGUAUUGCACAACUUCAUAAUUGAACACAAUCCAAACACCGAGCAAUUUGAUGAUGAAGAUACACCUUCAAAUGAUAACUUUGUCUUAAGUGAACCUGAAAUUGCAAGCCAAACACAUCAGCAAGGAAGCAACAAUGCUAUGAGAGCAGCUAUAUCAUCUCAAAUGUUUACA